rnacentral:rRNA from 1 species
UACGUAGGGUGCAAGCGUUAAUCGGAAUUACUGGGCGUAAAGCGUGCGCAGGCGGUUUUGUAAGUCUGUCGUGAAAUCCCCGGGCUCAACCUGGGAAUUGCGAUGGAGACUGCAAGGCUAGAAUCUGGCAGAGGGGGGUAGAAUUCCACGUGUAGCAGUGAAAUGCGUAGAGAUGUGGAGGAACACCGAUGGCGAAGGCAGCCCCCUGGGUCAAGAUUGACGCUCAUGCACGAAAGCGUGGGGAGGAAACAGG